rnacentral:rRNA from 1 species
AAUCUCGGGAAACUGAGGAUAAUACCCCAUAGGUGUGGUAUGCUGGAAGGCUUCCACGCUAAAAGCCCCGGCGCUCCAGGAUGAGUCUGCGGCCUAUCAGGCAGUAGUGGGUGUAACGGACCCACUAACCUACGACGGGUAGGGGCGUUGAGAGACGGAGCCCCCAGAUGGAUUCUGAGACACGAAUCCAGGCCCUACGGGGCGCAGCAGCUACGAAAACUGCCCAAUGUGGGAAACCACGAGGCGGGCAUUCCGAGUGCCAAGGCAUUGCUUUGGCUGUUCUUUCGCCUAAAAAGCGAGAGAAGUAAGGGCCGGGUAAGACGGGUGCCAGCCGCCGCGGUAAUACCCGCGGCCCGAGUGGUGCUCAUUAUUAUAGAGCUUAAAGCGUCCGUAGCCGGCCUUGUAAAUCUUUGGGUAAAUCGGGCAGCUCAACUGUUCGAAUUCCGAGGAGACUGCAAGGCUCGGGACCGGGAGAGGUUCGAGGUACUCUCGGGGUAGGGGUAAAAUCCUGUAAUCCUGAGAGGACCACCAGUGGCGAAGGCGUCGAACUAGAACGGAUCCGACGGUGAGGGACGAAGCCCUGGGGCGCAAACGGGAUUAGAUACCCCGGUAGUCCAGGGUGUAAACGCUGCGGGCUUGGUGUCGGAGGUCCUACGUGGGCGUCCGGUGCCGGAGAGAAAUUGUUAAGCCUGCCGCUUGGGGAGUACGGUCGCAAGACUGAAACUUAAA